CUUCCUUCCUUUUCCCCUCUGCUGGCACUGGCACCCCUGCAGCCAUGCCAGGGGCUGGAGAAGGGAAUUGCUGGAACUGGCACUACACUGGGCUUUGCCGGUUAGCUUUCAGCUGGGUCAGCACAUUGCUCUGCUUCUCUCCACUGCCCUGCAGGUGCCUCUGUGGGAGGAAGAACAGGAGUGGAAUGGAGGAUUGUCUUUCCAUGGCAAGGGAGAAGAGUGCCUGUGCUUUAAGAAAUAGACUGUGUCUUCAUAAGAACAUGAUUACUGUCAUAUUGACCCCAACAAAGGUGGUGUCCAGUCCAGCCUCCUCUCUCCAACUGUCACCUACGAUGGACACCUAAGGAAUCAUUAAAAGAACAAGAGGACACACAGGAAUAAUUUCCUGUGGAUAUGAUGUGCAGUACUGGGCUGGCAUGAAGACGUAGUAAAUUUUGUUAGACCAAGACAUAUAUGUGGAAAAAUAAGACAGACUUUUCGUCACACUUUUCUGUUAGAAUCACCUUUCAGUUAAGAGCAAUUGCUUACUGUUUCCUAAGAUAUUUAUUAAUUAAGCCACUUCUGAAAGGAAGAAGAUUGUAACUUUAGAAUAGAGAGGACAUUGAUUAUGUUAAUUAUGGGAAAAAAUAGCAUUUAUUAGCUAAGCAAAAAGGAGAGACAAUUACCUCACAGUGUUGAUUUGGAGAGAGGUAAGUGGGAGGAGGCAGUGUUGUAUGUUGAAGUAGAAGGAAAUGAUAAUGUACUAUCAGACCAGCAUCUCUACUGAGUCCACAGUUUUGGGCAGAGUUAGGAAACCUAGUUCUCAUGUGGACUUCUGAGGGACACGUUCUGUAGCUUCCCUUAAGGAUCAGGUCUGAAAAGAGUGAGAGAAUGUCUGUUUAGUGAGAAAGACUCCCUCACAAACAGCACAGUGGUUUGCUUGGCCUCCAGGAGUUUAUGCUGGAGCUGAGUGGUCGUUUUCAGCAGUAGAACUACAAGGAAUUCAGCUGUGCACUGGAUGAAGUACAGCCCUGGAACAUCAAAUGUAAAACCAGGGUAUGCUGGUGAUUUGAUGGCAGGGGGUGUUCAUUGCUGUAGCAGUGGAUGGGCAUCAAAACACAUCUUGCAUUUCUUGCUCUGGCACAGUUUAAACUGAUCUCGUGUUUUGGGCCACAAAGGAUUAUGCUCUAAUGAUGAGUUUUGCGGUUUGGGGUGUUUGAAAUGUAGGACAAGUGCUUCUGGGAAGAUUCUUUCCACAUAGGAUUUUCUUCUGUUAUGUGAAAAAUCAUUAAACAGUUAAAACGAGCAAAUCCUGGAAACUUUUCUGAACCUAACAGCUCUCAACCCUUGUUCUUAUCCCCUCAAUACCACCUUUACCCCAUUUCCACUUUUUUUUCCUGAGCUGGUCUGAUACAUCUGAACUUGCAGUAGUUUUUCUCAAGCUGCAUUUAGCUUUUAGCCAAUUACUGCAUUUAGAUAGUUACUGCUUCAGAACAACAAAAAAAUUUAGCUUGUUAAUCCAAAAAUGUGUCUGGUUUUCCUUCUGUACUAGUUGAUCUUAAAAAAAUCUAUUAUGUACAAGUACAAACCUUAUCUAUAUACACUGGUCUUUCUCCUAGAACAAUCUUCUAGGUUAGAAGGGAUGAUGUUUUUCCGUUUGAGAAGUGUUUUCUUAAUAUUUCAAAUGCAGACCUUAUUAGGUAGAAUUUCAACCAACUGAUGAUGCACUUAGGCAUCUUAAUUACCGCUCCUGGAUUGUGUGAUGUUUCCCCAGGUCUAAAAAGAACAGGCAGAAAGCCAAGGAGGCUUCCCAAGACUAGUCAGAAAUUCACACUCAUUGUCUAUGAGAAAGAGCACAGGUAAUAUUUAUCCCGAUUUAAAGAUCCAGUGUUCAAUCUUUUUAGGAUGAACAGAGAAACAAUACUGCUAUUUAGGGCUGAAUAUAAAUAGGUUUUGUGCUAGAAAGAAGUUAAUAAAUUUAAUUACUGGUGUAGAUCUGAAGAGAAAAAUAUGUAGCUUCAAUACAGUUUGAUAAAUACAAUAUUUAAGGAAUCAAACUGUUCAGCAGAAGAUGGAAAAAGCUUUUUGUGCGUACCAUUUUUGAACUAUGGUCCUCUGAGAAGAGUGUUCUUGACAGAACUCAAUGAACCUCAGUAAACGAGGACAUCAGCAAUCGACAUUUUUGAGGAUGUGCAAUUUUUCUAAACAUGAUCCCACUCCUGCAGUCGUUACACAGCAUAGAUUUUGCUAUUAAUUAGUUUGAAUGUGGGACAGCACUGCUGGGAGAAAGACAGUGGCCUAAAUAGCAUGGUCCAAAUUUUAUCUGUAGCUAUCCAAGAAAUACGGAUGUCUUUUAUUAACCCUUGCCGCCUCUGACAGCUAGAAAUAAAUGCUGGAGCCGUCUUACUCCUAAUGGAUUUUUGGAUCUCA
rnacentral:lncRNA from 1 species